GAUGAACGCUAGCGGCAGGCAUAAUACAUGCAAGGCGAAGGGGCAGCAAUGUCACUGUCGUACGGGUGCGUAACGCGUAUGCAACCUACCUAUCACUGGGGGAUAGCCCGGGGAAACCCGGAUUAAUACCGCAUAAAACAGGGGCACCGCAUGGUGAUAUUUGUUAAGGAUUUAUUGGUGAUAGAUGAGCAUGCGUUCGAUUAGCUAGUUGGCGGGGUAACGGCCCACCAAGGCGACGAUCGAUAGGGGAGCUGAGAGGUUGGUCCCCCACACGGGCACUGAGAUACGGGCCCGACUCCUACGGGAGGCAGCAGUAGGGAAUAUUGGGCGAUGGAUGCAAGUCUGACCCAGCCAUGCCGCGUGCCGGAUGAAGGCCCUCAGGGUUGUAAACGGCUUUUAUUCGGGAAGAAGAGCAGGGAUGCGUCCUUGUGUGACGGUACCGAAUGAAUAAGCACCGGCUAACUCCGUGCCAGCAGCCGCCGUAAUAC
rnacentral:rRNA from 1 species